rnacentral:tRNA from 2 species
GGGCCCGUAGCCUAGCUGGAUAGGGCACCGGACUUCUAAUCCGGAGAUCGCGGGUUCGAAUCCCGUCGGGUCCG